rnacentral:lncRNA from 1 species
CCCCGCCCGCCCUCGUCCGGCAGCCGCAAGCUCCCGGGCGGGGAGGGGCGGCCCCGGUAAAGGGAGAGACGGCGCUGCCGCCGCUCCGCGCCUUGCUCGGGGCACGGAGCUGAUGAUUAACCUGCGGUUCAUUGAAUACCUACCUGGCUCAAGUCGCGCCCGGGAUGUGGUUUAACCUUGUCCGAGGUUUCGGUACCUCGGGCUUUGCCUUUCUGCCUGAGACCCUGGUGCUGCCAGUUUUGCUGCUACCGAAGCGCUGCGGGGAUGUGCAGCUCCCCGUUGAAAAUCUCUGCUGUUAAUAUCAGCCUAGACUUCACUUUACAGUCGUUUUUAGAGGUUUGAGGCUCCAGAGGUCGAGGUGAUGUGGGACUCUCGGUCUCGGCGAGCAUUUUUGCAGCAGCAGCAGCCUCGGGCUGCAGUAGCUGGCACUUGAAUCCAUGUUGGCUCCUUUUCCUCGGGCGUGAGCUGCAAGGAGCUCAGCAGCUUCGGCAUUUAGUCCCAUUUGGGGAAACGUCUGUCCUUUGUGAGGAUGCCAGUACAGUUAUAGCCACUGACACUAUACAUGACCAGAGGCUCCAGUUUCUGGCAUCUCUUUCUAUUCAAUUUCUUCAGAUUAUCUGUAAAUUUUCAAUAAUGGCAAUACAUUCAUUCUGCCAUUUGGAGGAGCCUGUGCCACAGAAUAAUGAUCUGAAGAAAGCUCACUUAUUUGCAAGGAAGAGUCUUCAUUUGGGAAUUAGCACCGAUGCAGCUAAGAGGUGCUUCCUCAAGUUCAGAAACCAUUUUGGUAGGUGUGGGUUGCUUGUCAGAAAUCUGUUCCAAAGCUAG